CUUCAUAACAUAUUCUAGUUGUAUGUUCUGAAUUAGUAUGCAUCUGUAGAGUUGGAGAGAAUCAGCACAACUUCGGUGCGGAAACUAAAGUGACUAAAUUAAUUAGAUUCUUGGACAUAAAUUAAGUAGCCAAGUAUUUGAAUGUACAGAACAUUUGAUGCAUUUGUUGAUUCUGAUGACAAAGCAUGGCCUCUUAUGCACAUAGGCUACAGAGAGGUUUGAAUCAGUAUAUCCCUUGCCGAAGGAAGUGGCUCUUGCCGGUGCACCAGGAAGCAAGGCGAUGGAACAAGUGACUCAACAGAUAUUCACUUUUGCUUUGAAAUUAGCUGGUGAAGGUAGCCCUGUUUUAGCCAAAGGAAGCUACAUCAAUCGGCUAUCUGGGCCGUGACGGAAAACAUUGAUUGCUGCAAGCACUGGGACAGUCUCUACAAGGAGGAUGUAGAAGCAAGUGUUGCUGUUCUUAAAAGGCUUGUAGGCGAAUGGAAAGAGCAUACUAUCAAAAUACCAUCAUCACCGAGUAAUUCUCUCACUCUCAACCGAACUAUGAAGAGCUUCGUGCAAGAGAAUAAUGAGGCUAUCACUGAAGGAGCAGCCAAUGGCUCUCCUUAGGAAGACUCUUCGGUGGAAGUGGUUGCCUCAAAGGAACAGCCAUUAUUGCUGUGGUUUUAGCUGCUGCAGCUGUUCUAUAUUCCAACCAUGAGGCUACAACUUAGCUGAAGAACCUGGUGGACUCAUUGGACAUGAAUCAUCUAAACUUAAGUAAAUACUAACAAAUGGCUUGAGGAUGUCACCAGUUCACUGAUCUUCUGGAGAAUAAACUUUUUUUUUUUUUUGAAUUAUACAGAGGUAUCCUGGCCCCACAGAAGUGGUCUAGACUAGUCACGUGUUGCCACAUGUCGGUCCUCUGUCCCUGGCGAUGCCGAAAUGUUAAUUCCCCAGUGGCCGGGAUUCGAACCCAGGUGGCGGAACUCACAGCUGUGAACCCUUUACCAAUUGAGCUAGAAGCCCCGGUUGAGAAUAAACUAUUUAUGUAGACCUUUCGAGGUGAACAAUUCCAUCACUGAAAAUAGUAGACUAGUCCUCAUUCAUUACAUGAUAAUAUCAUUGAUGAGUGUGCGGUAGUGGUAUGCUGCUUAUGUAGAGACUGAGAUCGAAGCUGAAGACUUAGAGAAACAUGUAGCCCUUGACUGAGCUAGGAAAGUCGGUUUAGUUCAACAGCGUCAAAGGCUUGUGACGAGACUUAUGGAAGCAGAAUCUUUUGACGACUAGACAAAAC